rnacentral:rRNA from 2 species
GAUGAACGCUGGCGGCGUGCCUAAUACAUGCAAGUCGAACGAGUUCUGAUUAUUGAAAGGUGCUUGCAUCUUGAUUUAAUUUUGAACGAGUGGCGGACGGGUGAGUAACACGUGGGUAACCUGCCCUUAAGUGGGGGAUAACAUUUGGAAACAGAUGCUAAUACCGCAUAAAUCCAAGAACCGCAUGGUUCUUGGCUGAAAGAUGGCGUAAGCUAUCGCUUUUGGAUGGACCCGCGGCGUAUCAGCUAGUUGGUGAGGUAACGGCUCACCAAGGCAAUGAUACGUAGCCGAACUGAGAGGUUGAUCGGCCACAUUGGGACUGAGACACGGCCCAAACUCCUACGGGAGGCAGCAGUAGGGAAUCUUCCACAAUGGACGCAAGUCUGAUGGAGCAACGCCGCGUGAGUGAAGAAGGCUUUCGGGUCGUAAAACUCUGUUGUUGGAGAAGAAUGGUCGGCAGAGUAACU